AAGCGGAGGAAAAGAAACCAACAGGGAUUGCCCCAGUAACGGCGAGUGAAGCGGCAACAGCUCAAAUUUGAAAUCUGGCUUCGGCCCGAGUUGUAAUUUGUAGAGGAUGCUUUUGGUGAGGUGCCUUCUGAGUUCCCUGGAACGGGACGCCAGAGAGGGUGAGAGCCCCGUAUAGUCGGCCACCGAUCCUUUGUAAAGCUCCUUCGACGAGUCGAGUAGUUUGGGAAUGCUGCUCAAAAUGGGAGGUAUAUCUCUUCUAAAGCUAAAUAUUGGCCAGAGACCGAUAGCGCACAAGUAGAGUGAUCGAAAGAUGAAAAGCACUUUGAAAAGAGGGUUAAAUAGCACGUGAAAUUGUUGAAAGGGAAGCGCUUGUGACCAGACUUGUGCCGGGCUGAUCAUCCAGUGUUCUCACUGGUGCACUCGACCCGGCUCAGGCCAGCGUCGGUUCUCGCGGGGGGAUAAAAGCUUCGGGAACGUGGCACCUCCGGGUGUGUUAUAGCCCGUUGCUUAAUACCUCGCGGS
rnacentral:rRNA from 1 species